UACGUAGGUGGCAAGCGUUGUCCGGAAUUAUUGGGCGUAAAGCGCGCGCAGGCGGUCUUUUAAGUCUGAUGUGAAAGCCCCCGGCUCAACCGGGGAGGGUCAUUGGAAACUGGGAGACUUGAGUGCAGAAGAGAAGAGUGGAAUUCCACGUGUAGCGGUGAAAUGCGUAGAGAUGUGGAGGAACACCAGUGGCGAAGGCGGCACUCUGGGCUGGAACUGACGCUGAGGAGCGAAAGCGUGGGUAGCAAACAGG
rnacentral:rRNA from 1 species